CUAUGAUACACAGAAUCAUCGAGGGCAUUAACCCGAAAACCAUGAAAAUUGUGGUGGUGAGAACUUGAUAACCGGUAUCCAUUGCAAUUCGUACUUUGGAGUUAAAAGAGUUCGAAUCUGUUCAACUUUUCUUAUUUUAGAAUUUUGUAUUUUCAAGAAAUUGCCAAUGUGACUGCUGCUUGUUUUGGCACCUAUACAUCUUCAUUAUGUGAAAUGUUUGUGUGUAGGGGUGGGCAACGGGCUGGACCCGGUCGAUUU
rnacentral:lncRNA from 1 species